GAACGCUGGCGGCAGGCCUAACACAUGCAAGUCGAGCGGCAGCACAGGAGGAACUUGUUCCUUGGGUGGCGAGCGGCGGACGGGUGAGUAAUGCCUGGGAAAUUGCCCUGAUGUGGGGGAUAACCAUUGGAAACGAUGGCUAAUACCGCAUGAUGCCUACGGGCCAAAGAGGGGGACCUUCGGGCCUCUCGCGUCAGGAUAUGCCCAGGUGGGAUUAGCUAGUUGGUGAGGUAAUGGCUCACCAAGGCGACGAUCCCUAGCUGGUCUGAGAGGAUGAUCAGCCACACUGGAACUGAGACACGGUCCAGACUCCUACGGGAGGCAGCAGUGGGGAAUAUUGCACAAUGGGCGCAAGCCUGAUGCAGCCAUGCCGCGUGUAUGAAGAAGGCCUUCGGGUUGUAAAGUACUUUCAGUCGUGAGGAAGGUUGUAGUGUGAAUAGCACUAUGAUUUGACGUUAGCGACAGAAGAAGCACCGGCUAACUCCGUGCCAGCAGCCGCGGUAAUACGGAGGGUGCGAGCGUUAAUCGGAAUUACUGGGCGUAAAGCGCAUGCAGGUGGUUUGUUAAGUCAGAUGUGAAAGCCCUGGGCUCAACCUAGGAGUUGCAUUUGAAACUGACAGGCUAGAGUACUGUAGAGGGGGGUAGAAUUUC
rnacentral:rRNA from 1 species